rnacentral:rRNA from 1 species
GAUGAACGCUGGCGGCGUGCCUAAUACAUGCAAGUCGAGCGAACAGACGAGGAGCUUGCUCCUCUGACGUUAGCGGCGGACGGGUGAGUAACACGUGGAUAACCUACCUAUAAGACUGGGAUAACUUCGGGAAACCGGAGCUAAUACCGGAUAAUAUAUUGAACCGCAUGGUUCAAUAGUGAAAGACGGUUUUGCUGUCACUUAUAGAUGGAUCCGCGCCGCAUUAGCUAGUUGGUAAGGUAACGGCUUACCAAGGCAACGAUGCGUAGCCGACCUGAGAGGGUGAUCGGCCACACUGGAACUGAGACACGGUACAGACUCCUACGGGAGGCAGCAGUAGGGAAUCUUCCGCAAUGGGCGAAAGCCUGACGGAGCAACGCCGCGUGAGUGAUGAAGGUCUUCGGAUCGUAAAACUCCGUUAUUAGGGAAGAACAAAUGUGUAAGUAACUAUGCACGUCUUGACGGUACCUAAUCAGAAAGCCACGGCUAACUACGUG